AUUAUCGCCCAAACGGAAAUAGCGCAAAUCCUUGCAUUAAUUUUUCCGGAUUUACCUCUACGACCUUGUAUAUAUUAUAAAUUGAAAUCUGAAAUAUGUUUGCAUAUAAUGCAAGAAUUGAUUAUUAUGAAAUAACCUUUUUUUUCUUCAACCUUGUAGACAGCAUAGGAUUUCAAAUUUUACCUCUUCAGGUUAACUGCUUAAUGCUUUAGUAGGUCCUCCCUCCUUCACUGCAUCAAUGUAUUCUGUCCUUGGUCUUCCUCUUGUGAUACUCUCUUCACUCUUCCAGCAGAUUUGUAGACCAUUCAGCAGUGCAUUGAAUAUUCAGUCAAUCCAUUCCUUCUCUUUUCUAUCAAUUUUUCUUUUCUUUUUUCACCAAUCCUAUGAAAACUUCUUUAUUACUCACUUUCUGUUUCCAGGAAAUUUUCAUUAUAUGCCUCCAAUACCAGAUCUCAAAUGCUUGUAUUUUUUUUUUUUUUUUUUUCAUUCAGGAAAAAACCUUUAAAAAUUUUAAAAUUUUAAGAGCAAUAGAAACCAUAAAAA
rnacentral:lncRNA from 1 species